CCCAGCUACCGAUCCAACGAGAGCGCGCGUAGGGCCUCCAGCACAAGUCUCGGCUGGCUCCCUUCGGCUGAGAAUCGAUCGGCUCCCGUCCCGGCUCCCUCCGCGCUCAUGCUUCCCUCGAUGCGCCAGCUCGGCUAAAGUAUAUCCCUCCCUUAUUUCUCGAAGUCUCGAUGCGCCUGCUCAUCUACCGCCGCUGCCCGCGUGUUCCCCUCUGCUUCUCUCAUAGCAGCGAGCGCCGGCGGCGGCGGCGAGCGGCCGUGCCGUGCCGCGUAUGUGUCGUCUGGACAACAAGUCUGAUUCUGAUAGGUUCUUCUCCUGGAUUGGACUGAUGGAUUAGAAUCAGUAAGAUGCAUAUUGUGGAUUGAGCUCAAACCUCAUUUUUUUAUCAUGGUGGUUCUGUAUUUUCUGUGCAAAAUAUAAAGGAGGAAAAUGCUCAGCCUGAAAGGACUUUAAUUGCCACAAGAGGAUGGUUUUCAAAGGACUGUAGUUUAAUAUGCAGGCUUUGUAAUAUGUACUAUGUAAUCUGCGAAAUGUUAACAGUUUGUAAGGAUUGUAGUUGAAAUCAUACAAGCUGCAAUGUAAUUGCAAGGAAAUUCAUCCGUUUGUAAUCUGUACAAUUUUUGUAAAUCUGAAAUACACAUGGCAGUUGAUAACUAAAGUUAUAUAAUUAUAUUAGCACAAUAUAAGAAAUAUUAUGAUUGUCAUGAUCAUGGUCAUCCUCUACAUAUAGGUGAACAUCAUCCAUCAUCAAACAAUGCUGAUUGAAAAACAUGAUAAUUAAAGAACUAGACGAUAUUACCUGCAUUAUCCGCUCGCCGCCGGCUCCAACAUCCCCGGUGAUUUCGACGUCCAUGGGCGCAGGUGAUUGAAAUCCAUGUCCUUCCAUGCCAUGUGCUAGGGCAGGUGAAAACAACACGAGAUGAGAUGUCCCGGCAGCUGCAGGGUCCUCCUCCUGCCCUUCUCCUGCCAUGGAAGCUGAUGCAGCUGCGUUGCCCGUGGAGACUUGUCCUGCCAUGGCUGCUGCAGUGCUGCGGUUGCCGGCGAUUUUUGCCGUGAUCUUGAGGCGCAGGAUGAGACGUCUCACUCCACGUCCGCGUGAUCCAGGGGCACGCGAUAGGAGCUUUCCAAUUUCCACACCCACGAGCCGAUCGAGCGCGUGCGGUGAUGGCAGACGAACAGGCGCAUCGAGAGAAGCGUGACCGCGGGGAACAGGAUCCUCUGACGUAGAUCUACGUCAGAGGGACGUCCGACGCCGCUACACCCCUUGAUCGGCAUCGGAUGGAGGUGAAUAAGCACGGUAGAUUAACUGGCUUCUUUUCUGCUCACGCUGACAAAAUCGAACAGUUUACUCGCUCGCAGGGACGUCGGCCGGCGCGGAGAACGACGGCGUCAUGGCGACGUUCAGCGCCUCGUCGUCGCGCGUGCAGGUGCGUGUGGCCAGGAACAUCAGUGCGUACGCCGCCCUGGAGCGCAUCGCCACCGCCUGCGCCAGCCGGAGUGCGUGCCUCGGGGGAUGGCGAAAUAAAUCCCGGCCGGUUGUGGCCCGCCGGAGACGUAGUCAACGUGGCCAUGCAGCACCCAUCCCGGCAGCAAGGCCCUCCGUACGAUCACCAUGUCGUUCAACUUGCAGGGGCUCAUCGCAAAUGCCAUUCACUAGCACGCUGGCAUGUAUCCAAGCUCAAAGCACAACCAUGAUGUCGAUUCUGGCAAGAAGAGUAAGAUUCAGCAGUGCUCCGUCUGAGCGUGAGCUCGAGGAGGCAGCUAGCCAUGGCCCAUGCAAGGUUCGGCCAGAAGCGCUGACCCCAGCGACAGGAGGUCGGCGCAGGCGAACCACACACUCAACACGGACGGCUCCGCCGCAGGAUGCUGCGUGCUGCGGGCCUGCGGCACCGUCGACGAAGAACUCGGCGGCAUAUGACGAGAGAAGCGGCCGCCGGCCAGGAGCGAGCCUUUCCGUUUUCGUGGGUUGAUUUGUCAGCGUGGGCCGAAAAGAAGCUAGUUGGUGUGCUGUGCUUGUUUACCUCCGUUCGAUACCGAUCCAGCGGCGUAGCGGCAUCGGACGUCCCUCUGACGUAGAUUGCUCUACGUCAGAGGAUCCUGUUCCGAGAACGGAGGGAGCCGGGACAGGAGCCGAUUGAUUCUCAGCCGAAGGGAGCCAGCCGAGACUUGUGCUAGAGGCCCUACGCGCGCUCUCGUUGGAUCGGUAGCUGGGCCACGUGUCGCUCAUCCAGAUUGGGGUUGCACAGCAGGCCCGCUGCACCCCUCCUCCAAAUUUUUUUCCUUAGUUAAUGGCCUAUAUGCAUGCAUGCCUUAUAUUAUGGAACAUCUUAAAAAAGUGGUUGUGCCUUAUAUUAUGGAAUGGAGGGAGUACUACUAGAACCAGAAUAGGAUAAUAAUUCUAAAUUUAUAUCCAUGUAAUUUUGGCCCUUUUGUCAAUCAGAAUCAUGGUCAGAACAAGCUUGUUUUUUCUGUGGAUUAUAAUUCAAAACGAUUUUAAAAUUAAAAGUUUGGUGUUCAACAAUAACUUUGGAUGAAUUUUAUAUGUCCUCAUAACCAUCAUAAAAAUGAGUUGGGAAAUGAAGUGACCAUAAUACCCCGAAAUUAAUCUAAUUAAAAUAUAAAAAUUGAAAAUACUUUUGCCGAUACUUUGUUACGUCGUAUGUAUUUGAGUCGAUUUUUAAAUUCGUUCGCAUUUGAAAAUAUAUAAGGAGUCGUAUAAAAUAUCCUUUUAAAAAAAUCACAUACUAAAUUGGGACGAGAGUCGGACUCCUAAUUGCUUCAGAAUUUUUUUCAAGCCAUAAGAAAGCAACAUAUAGAAUAUGACCAUCAUCCGAAUAAGAGUUCCGAAUUAGAUAACAAUACUAUCAAAAUAAAAUUCUCAUAUAUACUUUUCAAAAAAAAAAUCUAACAAUAAUACGAUUAAAAUAGUCUUCACCCUUUGCAACGCACGAGCAAUUUUUUUAGUCUAAAAUUCAAAAUCAGUUCCAAAUUAGUUUUCAGCUGUCCAAGCAACAAAUAGUAGAAAAUAUAAACACAUUCCAAAUUUUCGAUCUCACCAGACAUUGAGUCGUCAACCCUUCGUGAGGUAAACAGCAAAGUUAAAAACCCUAAUGACUUUUACUAGUGAGCCAACAUCAAUUAACUAGA